GAGGAUGAACGGCCACAAUGGAACUGAGACACGGUCCAUACUCCUACGGGAGGCAGCAGUGGGGAAUAUUGCACAAUGGGGGAAACCCUGAUGCAGCAACGCCGCGUGAGUGAAGAAGGUUUUCGGAUUGUAAAGCUCUGUUAGCAGGGAAGAGGAAGGACGGUACCUGCAGAGGAAGCCACGGCUAACUACGUGCCAGCAGCCGCGGUAAUACGUAGGUGGCAAGCGUUGUUCGGAAUAACUGGGCGUAAAGGAUGCGUAGGCGGUUGAGUAAGUUAUGUGUUAAAUAUAUAGGCUUAACCUGUAGAAAGCACAUAAAACUGUUUAACUAGAGUGCAGGAGAGGUAAGUGGAAUUCCUAGUGUAGCGGUGAAAUGCGUAGAGAUUAGGAAGAACACCAGUGGCGAAGGCGACUUACUGGACUGUAACUGACGCUGAGGCAUGAGAGCAUGGGGAGCAAACAGGAUUAGAUACCCUGGUAGUCCAUGCUGUAAACGAUGGGUACUAGGUGUGGGU
rnacentral:rRNA from 1 species